rnacentral:snoRNA from 1 species
AGCCCCAAGUACUUCAAAGAGCUGAUGAGUCAAAAAAUGGAUAGAAAAAAAAAAAAAAUAA